AAAAAAUAAUAACAAAACCAAAACCAAAACAAAACAAAAAAAACCCGGCCAAUAAAAAGCCUCAGACAUACAGGAUCCCAUUCAUGGUGGGAGGGAUUUAGUGGAAGUAUUUUCCUUCUUUAAGGUUUGGCACAGCCUUAAAGGAGUCUCUUUAAAAGCUUCCAGAGCCGAUUAUAUUUUGGAUUGUAUUUCAAAUCACCCUUCCCCCACCACGUUUGGUGGGUCCUCAAACAAGUUCCCAGAAUAAAUUACACAUAACGGUAGCGGGAUUUUUUAUUUUAUUUUUUUCUGAGGAGGAGGAGGAAGGAAUAAAUGACACCAAAUUCUGUAAUGGAAAGAAAAAAAAAAAGUGUAUCGGAAACUGCUGCUGAGUGACUCAUGCUGCUGGACAAAUGGAACCUCACUCAUCACUCCAUCUUCAUCCUCCUUCUCUGGCUCUGCAUUGGCGAUUGAAGGAACAGUGCCUGACUAAUGACGCUGGACAGCAAGGAAAUACAAUUGUCCUGGAAGAGCUGGCAGGCUGUUGAAAUGUCAGAUGGUAAAAACAACCAAGAGUUCCAGAUGGGGCAGUCGGAAGAGAAACAUGCUGAAGAUGGUAAUGGAAAACUUCUGGAUUCUCUCAGCUGGGAGUCCCAUGUCCUCACCUGUGACUUCCCAGCCCAAUCACUGCUCAAGCCUUAUGCAAAGCAGUAUGCCUUGAGGAAGUUCUUCAUAACCAGGGUAAGCAAAGCCUGCCACAGUUUAUUUUCCCUGUUCACUAGUCCAUCUAUGCUGGGAAUUGUUUGGGAGCUGGAGUCUCACAUAGAAUACUAAGCUUUUACACAGCUGAGAAAAUCAUAAGCACUCUGCUGUAACAACCCCAAAUUUGAAUUGGAGCUUCAUUACUUACAUUAACAGGGAGAAGUGCCCAUGAGUUUGACUUCAUUCACUGGCAUUUGUACUGCGAUUUUCACCAGCAGAUGAUUUUUUUUUGUUAUCCUAACUUCUAGUGAGCAUACAGGC
rnacentral:lncRNA from 1 species